UACAGAGGCCUCGAGCGUUAGGCGGAAUCACUGGGCUUAAAGCGUGUGUAGGUGGAUGCCUAAGUACCUUGUGAAAUCCCACGGCUUAACCAUGGAAUUGCUUGGUAUACUGGGUGUCUUGAGCCACUCAGGGGCGAGCGGAACAAACGGUGGAGCGGUGAAAUGCGUAGAUAUCGUUUGGAACGCCAAUGGUGAAAACAGGUUGCUGGGAGUGUGCUGACGCUGAGACACGAAAGCCAGGGGAGCGAACGGG
rnacentral:rRNA from 1 species